CCUACGGGAGGCAGCAGUGAGGAAUAUUGGUCAAUGGGCGCGAGCCUGAACCAGCCAAGUAGCGUGAAGGAUGACUGCCCUACGGGUUGUAAACUGCUUUUAUAAAGGAAUAAAGUGAGGCACGUGUGCCGUUUUGUAUGUACUUUAUGAAUAAGGAUCGGCUAACUCCGUGCCAGCAGCCGCGGUAAUACGGAGGAUCCGAGCGUUAUCCGGAUUUAUUGGGUUGAAAGGGAGCGUAGAUGGGUUGUUAAGUCAGUUGGGAAAGUUUGCGGCUCCACCGUAAAAUUGCAAUUUAUACUGGCAGUCUUGCGUACAGUUGCGGUAGGCGGAAUUCGUGGUGUAGCGG
rnacentral:rRNA from 1 species